UACGGAAGGCAGCAGUGGGGAAUAUUGCACAAUGGGCGCAAGCCUGAUGCAGCCAUGCCGCGUGUAUGAAGAAGGCCUUCGGGUUGUAAAGUACUUUCAGCGGGGAGGAAGGCGAUGCGGUUAAUAACCGCGUCGAUUGACGUUACCCGCAGAAGAAGCACCGGCUAACUCCGUGCCAGCAGCCGCGGUAAUACGGAGGGUGCAAGCGUUAAUCGGAAUUACUGGGCGUAAAGCGCACGCAGGCGGUCUGUUAAGUCAGAUGUGAAAUCCCCGGGCUUAACCUGGGAACUGCAUUUUGAAACUGGCAGGCUUGAGUCUUGUAGAGGGGGUAGAAUUCCAGGUGUAGCGGUGAAAUGCGUAGAGAUCUGGAGGAAUACCGGUGGCGAAGGCGGCCCCUGGGACAAGACUGACGCUCAGGGUGCGAAAGCGUGGGGAGCAAACAGGGAUUAGGAUACC
rnacentral:rRNA from 1 species